rnacentral:lncRNA from 9 species
GAUUGAACCCGUGCCUCUCCAGUUGCUACAGUCGGAUUCCUAACCCACCGGACUGCAGUGGGAACUCCAAACAUACAUAUGUAUAUUUUAUAAUCCACACUGCCACCUCUGGAACUCCAGAUGAGGUGACAGAGUUAGGAAAGAUGGAUGACACAAACACACGCAUCCGGUUCCAUUUUAUUAAAAAACAAAACCAAAACAAAAUUUUGCAAUGAAAUUUCCUGGAAUUCACAAUCUUUUUCAAAUCUUCUGGUUGCAUUUUUUUUAAACCAGUCCAUAAGAACACGAUUGCACGUAUUUACAUUAUAGUCUUCUAUAUAACAAAAAUAGCCAUGUGUACCACCAAAUGUUUCCAACUAUUAUCCUUAAUAUUUCGUCACUAGCCUGUAUGAGACAGAGUAUGCUCUCCAAGCACAUAGAGAAUAGAAUAAAGCAAAAUAAAAGUCGUGUCUCCUAAUAGAAGACAAAUCCCUUUAAAGACAGUUUUUCAAAACUUCUGUGUAUUUCAAGAGAGAUAUAAAGUGCUUUAGAAGGAGUAAGGUAGGUGCCUGAGGCGGGAAGAAGGAAAGAGAAAGAGACGUAAUACAGAAAAAAAACAAAACAAAACAAAAUCUAAAAAGCACACUGCCUCAACUAAUCCUUUAAAUAUGCCUGUGACUUUGUGUAGGAGAUGCUGUUUGGGUAAAACAGCUACAUCAUUGACUUCUACAUUUUAACAAUGAAGAGCUAAUCUAAGUCAAAACAAAAAGUAACUCAUGCAAAUGCCAUGAGGAGUAACUUUGGUGAUUUGGGGUCACGUGGCAGAUACAUCAGGGAAGCUCAGUCUCAUGAUCUGAAUGUGGAGAGGAGGGGGGUCCAUUGCGAGUGGGGUCUGCAGACGCUGGAGGGGACGCUCAGUAAAAUUCUCCCCGUGACAUCAUGUGUUUACAACGAACUCACAUCAAUCAUGUUUAGGAGAGAAAAAAUAAAUUUUUUUUUUUUUUUUUUUUUUUCCCCUUUUCACAUUAUUGAACUGGCAAUGGCUGGUUAUGGUCUGCAGUCCACAAAAUCGGUGUCACAUCUAUACGGCUGGAAGGCUCCUCUGGAAACUAGACCAAUUAUCCUCCCAGCUCAUGAACAUUUUAAAGAACAAUACCCAGUAUUUUCUCAGGAAAUGAAUGGAAUGUAA